AUUGAACGCUGGCGGCAUGGCUAAUGCAUGCAAGUCGAACGAAAGCCCUUCGGGGCGAAAGUGGCGAAAAGGGCGAGUAAUACGAUCGAACGUACCCCAAGGUGGAGGAUAGUGUCGGGAAACUGACGGUAAUACUCCAUGUGCUCUUCGGAGGAAAGCUUUGGCGCCUCGGGAGCGGCGAUCGUCCUAUCAGGUAGUUGGUGAGGUAAUGGCUCACCAAGCCGAAGACGGGUAGCGGGUGUGAGAGCAUGACCCGCCGCAUCGGGACUGAGACACUGCCCGGACUCCUACGGGAGGCUGCAGCGACGAAUCUUCCGCAAUGGGCGCAAGCCUGACGGAGCAAUGCCGCGUGUGGGACGAAGCGUCUUCGACGUGUAAACCACUGUCAGAAUCUAGGAACACUGACCAGAUUCAAAGGAAGGGCCGGCUAACCUCGUG
rnacentral:rRNA from 1 species